UCAAAAACAUGUCUUUUUGAAAAAUAAUUUAAAGUCUAAUCUGCCCACUGAAAAUUUUUAAAGGGCUGCAGUAUAUUGACUGUACAAAGGUAGCAUAAUCAAUAGUCUUUUAAUUGGAGACUUGUAUGAAUGAUUUGAUGAAAUAUAAACUGUCUCUUUAUUAUGUAUUAGAAUUUAAUUUUUUAGUCAAAAAGCUAAAAUAGAUAUAAAAGACGAGAAGACCCUAUAGAGUUUUAUUUUUAUUUAUAUUUAAAAUAUUUAUAAAAUUUAUAUUUUAAAUAUAAAUAAAAAUUUUGUUGGGGUGAUAGAAAAAUUAAAGAAACUUUUUUUAAAUAUUAAACAUAAAUAAAUGAUUUUUUGAUCCAUAAUUUAUGAUUAUAAGAAUAAAUUACCUUAGGGAUAACAGCGUAAUUUUUUUUUUUAGUUCUUAUAAAAAAAAGAGUUUGCGACCUCGAUGUUGGAUUAAGAUAAAAUUUAAAUGCAAAAGUUUAAAAUUUUGAUCUGUUCGAUCAUUAAAAUCUUACAUGAUCUGAGUUCAAACCGGGAGA
rnacentral:rRNA from 1 species